rnacentral:rRNA from 1 species
AACGAACGCUGGCGGCAGGCCUAACACAUGCAAGUCGAGCGCGCCCUUCGGGGUGAGCGGCGGACGGGUGAGUAACGCGUGGGAACGUGCCCUUCUCUGCGGAAUAGCCUCGGGAAACUGAGAGUAAUACCGCAUACGCCCUUUGGGGGAAAGAUUUAUCGGAGAAGGAUCGGCCCGCGUUGGAUUAGGUAGUUGGUUGGGUAAUGGCCCACCAGGCCGACGAUCCAUAGCUGGUUUGAGAGGAUGGUCAGCCACACUGGGACUGAGACACGGCCCAGCCUCUUACGGGAGGGAGCAGUGGGGAAUCUUAGACAAUGGGGGCAGCCCUGAUCGAGCCAUGCCGGGUGAGUGAUGAAGGCCUUAGGGUUGUAAAGCUCUUUCAGCUGGGAAGAUAAUGACGGUACCAGCAGAAGAAGCCCCGGCUAACUCCGUG